rnacentral:rRNA from 1 species
UACGGGGGGGGCAAGCGUUGUUCGGAAUUACUGGGCGUAAAGGGCUCGUAGGCGGCCUUCUAAGUCGAACGUGAAAUCCCCGGGCUCAACCCGGGAACUGCGUCCGAUACUGGAAGGCUUGAAUCCGGGAGAGGGAUGUGGAAUUCCAGGUGUAGCGGUGAAAUGCGUAGAUAUCUGGAGGAACACCGGUGGCGAAGGCGACAUCCUGGACCGGUAUUGACGCUGAGGCGCGAAAGCCAGGGGAGCAAACGGG